CUGCAGGGCCACUCUGACUGGGGGAUGCUCAGUCAUCCCGCGGGACGUGUGCUCCCGGGUGGAGCCGGCGUUGGGAGGUCAGCCCGGUUCGGGAGCAGUGCCCGGCCGCGGUCUCCAGGUAGAACCGCUUUUCCGGCCUCGACCGUCCUUGACUGCUCAGGCUCAGCUCGAGAGACACCUGGGGGAAGGCGGGAACCAAUAUUGAGCGCCAUUGCUAGGUGCCUUAAAAUACUAAUUUUCUGUACGCAAAUCUCUACCAAGUAGGUACUGUCGCCCUUAAUUUAGAGGAAACGAAACCGAGGCUCAAGAGAGGCAGUCCCUGAACUCACUACACCAUCUGUACUUUUUGAAAAGUGUCGCUUCUCCAGACUCCAACCUCAAAUCAGAAACCAUGAGGAAUAUGAUUGAGAAAAGUGAACAAGGGGAGUUCUAAGGCCUAGUGUUCAAUCUCUAGGUAAUGCAAUGGGUAACCUUAGCUACAUUUUAUUGUUCAAAACAAUUCAUAAAUCCAUAUUCAAGAAACAUGGACAUAGACCCUGACUCUUAAUUGGAGGAAUGAGUACCGAGGCCAUUUUUUAUGAUCAACCAUACCCACGUGUACCUACAAUGAAAUGCUCUUCAAAAUUACCUGUUACUCAUAAUUUGAAGACCAUAGACUGAUAGUUCAUAUAUUUACCUGCACUUAUAAUGUGACAUCCUCUGUACUUGGAAUAAUAAAA